CCCUGAUCCAAAGCAGGACAUUCGGCAUCUUGACCCAACCAGGGUCCCAAGGAGGAUCUCGACCCGAUACGCCAUCUGUCCAUUACGCUGACCCCGCUGAGUUCCUCCAGUGUGCUGUGCAUAGGUCACACAGCAU